UGAGGAAUAUUGGUCAAUGGACGCAAGUCUGAACCAGCCAUGCCGCGUGCAGGAUGACGGCCUUACAGGUUGUAAACUGCUUUUAUACGGGAAGAAACCCCUGAACGUGUUCGGGGCUGACGGUACUGUAUGAAUAAGCAUCGGCUAACUCCGUGCCAGCAGCCGCGGUAAUACGGAGGAUGCAAGCGUUAUCCGGAUUUAUUAGGUUUAAAGGGUGCGUAGGCGGGAUAUUAAGUCAGUGGUGAAAUCCUACAGCUUAACUGUAGAACUGCCAUUGAAACUGAUAUUCUUGAGUCUAGUUGAGGUGGGCGGAAUGUGUCAUGUAGCGGUGAAAUGCAUAGAUAUGACACAGAACACCGAUUGCGUAGGCAGCUCACUAAGCUACAACUGACGCUGAGGCACGAAAGCGUGGGGAUCAAACAGG
rnacentral:rRNA from 1 species